rnacentral:rRNA from 1 species
UACGUAGGUGGCAAGCGUUGUCCGGAUUUAUUGGGUUUAAAGGGUGCGUAGGCGGUCCUAUAAGUCAGUGCUGAAAUAUCCCGGCUUAACCGGGAGGGUGGCAUUGAUACUGCAGGACUUGAGUGAAGUCGAGGUAGGCGGAAUUGACGGUGUAGCGGUGAAAUGCUUAGAUAUCGUCAAGAACACCGAUAGUGAAGACAGCUUACUAGGCUUAUACUGACGCUGAGGCACGAAAGUGUGGGGAUCAAACAGG